UCUCAUAGAUGAGAAAAGAAAGUGGUUUCUUGAGAUGGAAUCUACUCCUGGUGAAGAUGCUGUGAA
rnacentral:pre_miRNA from 1 species